UGGUUCAGUUUUAGGAUCCCUGUCUACUACACAGGAGACCUGGGUUUGAUUCCCAG
rnacentral:tRNA from 1 species